rnacentral:rRNA from 1 species
AACGAACGCUGGCGGCAUGCCUAACACAUGCAAGUCGAACGAGAUCUUCGGGUCUAGUGGCGCACGGGUGCGUAACGCGUGGGAAUCUGCCCUUUGGUUCGGUAUAACAGUUGGGAACGACUGCUAAUACCGGAUGAUGACGAAAGUCCAAAGAUUUAUCGCCAGAGGAUGAGCCCGCGUAGGAUUAGCUAGUUGGUGUGGUAAAGGCGCACCAAGGCGACGAUCCUUGGCUGGUCUGAGAGGAUGAUCAGCCACACUGGGACUGAGACACGGCCCAGACUCCUACGGGAGGCAGCAGUGGGGAAUAUUGGACAAUGGGCGAAAGCCUGAUCCAGCAAUGCCGCGUGAGUGAUGAAGGCCUUAGGGUUGUAAAGCUCUUUUACCCGGGAUGAUAAUGACAGUACCGGGAGAAUAAGCUCCGGCUAACUCCGUGCCAGCAGCCGCCGUAACAC